rnacentral:rRNA from 1 species
GCGACGCAGAGCGGAACUUCAAAGCCUGUCUCAGUUCGGAUUGGAGUCUGCAACCCGACUCCAUGAAGCUGGAUUCGCUAGUAAUCGCGCAUCAGCCACGGCGCGGUGAAUACGUUCCCGGGCCUUGUACACACCGCCCGUCAAGCCAUGGAAGCCGGGAGUGCCUGAAGUGUGCAACCGCAAGGAGCGUCCUAGGGUAAAACUGGUAAUUGGGGCUAAGUCGUAACAAGGUACC